GGAGGAGGGGCACGAACUGUGAGCCCGCAGUAUCUCCUCAAAGUGGAUUCCUGCUUCACUGCAGAUAGACCCCAAACGAAACUGCGCCAAGAGCAGUGCACACAGAUCCAUGGGAUGCCAUUACCCCUGGAUAAUUUCAAGAACAUCUGGAGCUCCUCUCCCAGUGUGAUGAACCGAUUCCCUGGAAGGUGUGCAGAGGGCUCUUCACCACUGGUCCUCGGUGCUCUGACUCCUUACUCCGGAUGUGCGCCUGUCCUGAGAAGCCCCUGAACCGGAAGCAC